rnacentral:rRNA from 1 species
AACGAACGCUGGCGGCAUGCCUUACACAUGCAAGUCGAACGGCAGCACGGGGCAACCUGGUGGCGAGUGGCGAACGGGUGAGUAAUGCAUCGGAACGUACCUUUCAGUGGGGGAUAACGUAGCGAAAGUUACGCCAAUACCGCAUAUUCUGUGAGCAGGAAAGCAGGGGAUCGCAAGACCUUGCGCUGAUUGAGCGGCCGAUGUCAGAUUAGCUAGUUGGUGAGGUAAAGGCUCACCAAGGCGACGAUCUGUAGCGGGUCUGAGAGGAUGAUCCGCCACACUGGAACUGAGACACGGUCCAGACUCCUACGGGAGGCAGCAGUGGGGAAUUUUGGACAAUGGGGGCAACCCUGAUCCAGCCAUGCCGCGUGAGUGAAGAAGGCCUUCGGGUUGUAAAGCUCUUUCGGCCGGGAAGAAAUCGCACGGGCUAUACCCUGUGUGGAUGACGGUACCGGAAUAAGAAGCACCGGCUAACUACGUGCCAGCCGCCGCGGUAAUAC